GACAAGAAAUAACAAUACGGGGCAUAUGUCUUGUAAUUGGAAUGAUGCCGACUUAAACCCUCGGCAGAAUACCAAUUGGAGGGCAAGUCUGGCGCCAGCAGCCGCGGUAAUUCCAGCUCCAAUAGCGUAUAUUAAACUUGUUGCAGUUAAAAAGCUCGUAGUUGAAUUUGAGCUUGCGCGAUUCCGUUAUUGGAGUAUUGCGCUUGCUUUUUUGUUACUUUGAGAAAAUUAGGGUGUUUCAAGCAGACUUUUGUCUUGAAUACUUCAGCAUGGAAUAAUAGAGUAGGACCUUGGUUCUAUUUUGUUGGUUUUUGAGCCUUGGUAAUGGUUAAUAGGAACGGUUGGGGGCAUUCGUAUUUAACUGUCAGAGGUGAAAUUCU
rnacentral:rRNA from 1 species